rnacentral:rRNA from 1 species
UACAGAGGGGGCAAGCGUUGUUCGGAAUUAUUGGGCGUAAAGGGCGCGUAGGCGGCUUUGCAAGUGGCGGGUGAAAUCCCUCGGCUUAACCGAGGAACUGCCUGCCAGACUGUGAGGCUUGAGAUCGGGAGAGGUGAGUGGAAUUCCCAGUGUAGCGGUGAAAUGCGUAGAUAUUGGGAGGAACACCAGUGGCGAAGGCGGCUCACUGGACCGGAACUGACGCUGAGGCGCGAAAGCGUGGGGAGCAAACAGG